UUAGUAAAUGAAAGCUAAGGUGCGUCUCCAACUGGGAAGGAAACAUUAAGAUUAGGGAAGACGCAUCCUCCCUCACAACAUCAUACCAACAGAGCCUAGGCUGCAAGGCAGUGACUGGGGUACAGUUUGAAUUGGGCAUUGGGGUAGGGGAGAGACUUGUCCCAGGGGGAAGACAGCUGAGCACCAAGUGUUCAGGGGCGAGACUGAAGUUGAAAAUCAGGUAAUGGAAGAGGACUUCCACUCAGGCUGGAUCCAGGUACAAGGAAACAAAACACUUAGAGGUGCAUCUAGUCACCAUGCUCAAAGACCACCAGCUAAGACAUUUUGGAGAGUUUUCCUUUUUACUCCUUUUUCGCUUGAAGGGAAAAAUAAGAAAAAGAAAGAGUGGAACUAUCCAUGCUCAGGUCCUCACCUAAAUUUAUGAAUCAACAGUGUCAUCACAGCAAGAUUACGGGAAUGGACACUAUCCUUUCCAAGAUGGGCUAAAGAUGAAGGUUGUGGUGGUGUAAAUGUGAACUCCAAGCAAUUGCUGUUCUCUGCCUGGCAUUGCAGGACAGUCUUGAAAAUAUAACAUAUACCCAUAUAAGUAUGUCUAAACCUGUGAGUUACAAUAUAGACUCAGUAGACAAUAAAAUUAUGUUGUUCAAAACAAAUACCUGAAAAUGUUGGUGGUGU
rnacentral:lncRNA from 10 species